AUUCCCGUACGUCAAGAUUGC
rnacentral:miRNA from 1 species